rnacentral:tRNA from 2 species
UAGGUUAAUGUCAGCCGGCUUAGACAGCUAACUGUUAAUUAGUUAUUUGUGGGAUCGAGGCCCACUAACCUAG